GGGGAAUAUUGGACAAUGGGCGAAAGCCUGAUCCAGCCAUGCCGCGUGAGUGAUGAAGGCCCUAGGGUUGUAAAGCUCUUUCAACGGUGAAGAUAAUGACGGUAACCGUAGAAGAAGCCCCGGCUAACUUCGUGCCAGCAGCCGCGGUAAUACGAAGGGGGCUAGCGUUGUUCGGAAUUACUGGGCGUAAAGCGCACGUAGGCGGAUUGUUAAGUGAGGGGUGAAAUCCCAGGGCUCAACCCUGGAACUGCCUUUCAUACUGGCAAUCUUGAGUCCGGAAGAGGUGAGUGGAAUUCCGAGUGUAGAGGUGAAAUUCGUAGAUAUUCGGAGGAACACCAGUGGCGAAGGCGGCUCACUGGUCCGGUACUGACGCUGAGGUGCGAAAGCGUGGGGAGCAAAC
rnacentral:rRNA from 1 species